UUGUUGCUCGGAUUUUCUGCUUAUGCUAAUGGUUAGUGAUGUGUUUACUCUUUGCAUUCUUUUUUUGUAUAAUUUUUUAUAGCAUGACAUCCUAUCUUCCCUCUUACAUGAUUGUCUUUGGUAGUUGCUUUGCUCUGUUCUUAUUUUCUCUUUUAUUGCUCCGUUCCUUCGAAGCCUCUUCUUGGUUUUGCUCUUCUUGAUACAGAUUGGUCAGGUGAGCUUUUUCUUUUACUGAACUAUCUCAUCUAUAAUGCUGUUUAUUCCAAUAUGUUUUUUUGGUCGAUCAUUCGUGGACUAACUCAGCUUUACUUACUUUGUUUAUGGGUGUUUUAUAUUUUGCCGUUGCAUUAAGGUAAGCCUAUUUUAAAUUUCCUGUCUUCUUUGAUUCUUUAUUCUACCUUUCAUUUAUCCAUUAUUUGUUCUUAUUUGUGUUCUGCCUUUUUCCCCUGUUUUCCCUUUACAUUUUGCAUGAGCUUUCUUCGUCUGUGGUUGCUGUAAGGAACUUUCUUUCUUUGUCACUAGACACUUGCAAAUUGGACUGUUCUGUGAGCCACCGAAUGUUUUGCUUCCACUCAAAAGAGUGACAAUAAUUGUGCUUUUUCUUCAAUGGUUGGGCCUAUUUUCCACCUUGCCUAACCUUUUAAACUAUACCUGCUUCUUUGACUUUGCCGUCGAUUUUCCUUCUUGUUCGUAUGGUGUUAGGAGCUGUUUUUCUUCUCAGAAGGUGAUGGGAUUUGGUGGAUGACGAGCUCAAGAAGGUAAGGGGCUAGUAAUCUUCUGUCUUGGUUACUCUUUCCAUUUUUCUCUUUUUUCUUCAUCUCCCUUUUCCCUCCUACCUCUCUCGAGUAAUAAUAGUUAGUUUCUUCUAUUUUUUUGCCUUUUUUUCCCUAAUCUUUUUUUUCCUUUGCUAAAAGCAACAAAUCAUUUUCUCCUCUCCUCUGCGUCUCUGUUUGUUAUGUUCUCAGAUAUUUUGCUAUUAAGAAAACUUCAUUUUUUUUGGGCUUUGUAAUCACUGAAUCUCCACUAUACUUAAUUUUCUGACAUGCUUCAUUUUUUCCCAUCUUUUAAGGAUUUAGCUUGCAUGUUUCAUCAAUAAAUAUUUUCAUCAUUUUAAUCUGGACUUGGAUAAUAGCUACAUUUUUUGUCCAUUUUUUCCUUUUGUUAGGUGGGAAAAGAUGAUGAAGAUUGGAGAUGAAUUGAUGAUG
rnacentral:lncRNA from 1 species